GCACAAAACUUUGAAUUUCUAUGGAACAAGGAGCCUCAGAGACCAUAAUUACAACCAUGGGUCUGAGGAAGACACAGCCGGGUGAGCUGGCGCAGUGUGACAGACUCUAUAAAAACCCUUCCAAGGAAAUGACAUCACCAAGCAAAACCCCUGUACAAAGGUGUGAGCAGACUUCUCACAGGAGGGAGAGAAGAACGAGCCAAUGAUACCUUGGCUGGGUUCCGUGUGGAAGCCGAGAAAACUUACUUCAGUUAUAGAAGCUCAAAAAGGAGAAAACUCACUUCAGAUCCGGAAGCUUAAAAAUUGAAAGUUUUUCUUUGUGAGAGCUCAGGGAGGGCUCAGCGUAGAUGAACACCGGGCCACUACCCACUUCAUCUCUGAUGGACACUGAAGCCUGUUUAGUUGGUGGACAUAUUGUACAAGUGACAUUCAGGGUCACUUGUCAUAUCCUGGAACACAAAUACAGGUCCUCACUUCUUUCCUACAGUCUCGAUUGGAGUGAAGAGAAAGGGAAACUUCUGAGACGGUCAGAUGUCCUUCCAAAAAGCCGCGACCCUCUGGCAUCCUCCCUGAAGGACAGGACCCUGGCCCACACGCCUCUGAAAGACACCAUCGUUUUCUCGCUCCAGAUGUCUCUCACACACACUUAGUCCAUAUCUUAAUUUUAUCUGCUGAUCCCCAGUGGUGUUCCUUGCUUGUCUGAGGUUCUUUGAGAUAAGACUGAUGUGUCUGCUUAAUGAAUACCAUAUUUAAUUUUGAAGCAUUUUGACACAUGCAAUGAUGCCUUCGUCACACAGAAACCUUCCACCACCGUUGUCUCCCUAGACUCCCG
rnacentral:lncRNA from 1 species